UGAAACAUACUUUGGUCUGUUCAGAGACACCUGGAGGUGGUCAGAUGGAAGCAGUUUCUCUUUCAGACACUGGAAUGACCGGUUAAACAAUCAGCGAUACAACACUGGUCAAUGUGCUGUUGCUGGGAUUGAUGAUGAAGGCAGAUGGAAGAGUAAGGAUUGCACUGAGGAAAAACCAUUCAUCUGUUAUGAUGAUAAACUGAUCUUGAUUAAAGAAAAGAUGAACUGGGAGGAUGCCUUAUACUACUGCAGAGAUCACUACCAUGACCUGGUCACCAUCACCAGCCUGGAUGAGCAGAGAUGGAUCCAGGAGAAAGCCAAGAAGGCCUCCACUGAUUAUGUCUGGAUGGGACUGCACUACGCCUGUACUCUGGAUUUCUGGUUCUGGGUCAGUGAUGAGGUGGUCAGGUAUAAGAACUGGGCCUCAGGGGAACCAGUGGAUGACUGUGACAUGUCUGGAGCCAUGGAGACACGAGGAGGACAUAAGUGGAGGAAAAUGAAUGAUCUAAAGGAGUUUAAUUUCUUUUGCUCUAAGAAUUAAAUCCCAGACUAAUAGCAGUAAGUGCAGUUAACUGUUUCCACUGAGCUGUUUUUAUGUUUUUUUUUUCCCUAAGUUAAUAAGGUGACAACUUUUUUUGAUGGAUGUAGAAUUGUGGUAUUUGAAACCAAUUACUUUUUUUUUUGACAAUUUUAAUCUUUUUUUUUUUUUUGGAAACUACAUGUAUGCUUGCUUUCACCAAUAAAAUCCUUAGAUCCUG